rnacentral:ncRNA from 2 species
CACCUGAUCCCUUCCCGAACUCAGAAG